UACGAAGGGAGCUAGCGUUGUUCGGAAUUACUGGGCGUAAAGGGCGCGUAGGCGGCUCUGUAAGUCAGAUGUGAAAGCCCUGGGCUUAACCUGGGAACUGCAUUUGAUACUGCAAGGCUAGAGAUCGAGAGAGGAAAGUGGAAUUACGAGUGUAGAAGUGAAAUUCGUAGAUAUCGUAGGAACACCAAGUGGCGAAGGCGUACUUUCUGGCUCGAUACUGACGCUAAAAGCGCGGAAAGCGUGGGGAGCAAACAGG
rnacentral:rRNA from 1 species